rnacentral:rRNA from 3 species
AAAUUGAAGAGUUUGAUCAUGGCUCAGAUUGAACGCUGGCGGCAGGCCUAACACAUGCAAGUCGAACGGUAACAGGAAGCAGCUUGCUGCUUUGCUGACGAGUGGCGGACGGGUGAGUAAUGUCUGGGAAACUGCCUGAUGGAGGGGGAUAACUACUGGAAACGGUGGCUAAUACCGCAUAACGUCGCAAGACCAAAGAGGGGGACCUUCGGGCCUCUUGCCAUCAGAUGUGCCCAGAUGGGAUUAGCUUGUUGGUGAGGUAACGGCUCACCAAGGCGACGAUCCCUAGCUGGUCUGAGAGGAUGACCAGCCACACUGGAACUGAGACACGGUCCAGACUCCUACGGGAGGC